GCAUGACCAAUCACGUUUCUUCUUCUCUUCAUCGUCUGACACCGCCACAUUUCCACCUCUUCGUCAUCAAUCGGUCAGCGGCUACCAUUUCCACCAUCACAACCACUGACCGGUCUGCUCAUCCCAAGAACACCCUCACCCGAUUGGAAGAGGUUCUCUCUACCGAAUCCAUCUCAGAUGGCCUUCUUCUCCGAUUGAAUCCGAGACAAGAGGAGCCACCCAAUCGCCCCUGCCAGAUCUCAUUUCAUCUUCACGUUUGUCGCUGUUCGUUUCUGUUAGAAGACUCAGAUUCGAGUCUUCUUCACGCAGCCACCACCGGAGUUUCCUCCCAGAUUCGGGAGCCAUCUCCUCCAUUACACAGCCCUCUCUCGAUUGGGAGAGGAGUCACCACCGUCAUCUCAGCUCUGGCGCCCUUCCUAUCUCCAGCACAAACCCUUACAAGUUCUGGAUAGCAGAUUCGUCUCACGCAUCCAUCCAGAUUGUAACAUCCCUUCUUCGACAAGUUUUGACUUGGUUGUUCGUUGUGUUGCUUUGUUUCAUUUGGUUGUUGGUUGAUCCCCAUAUUUGAUUGAUUGAGUAGAUCCAAUGUUUCAUGCCUAAGAUGUCAUGUAUUAAGUUGGAAUCAUUUGAUGUUUAUCAAGUGUUCUAUAAAUUUCCCCAAACACUACUUGAAGUUGAUUUGAUCCGAAUACUUUGAUGUGUUGAUCGCUUGAAUGAAUUCAUGUUUGAAUGCUUGUAAUUGAUUUGGUUCCCGUGAUUAGGAUUUCAUGUAGUGAAUUUUGAUUGGUUGAUGCUUGCAAGGUGUUCGAUGGAAUGUUUUCCUUAAGUAAUUAGACUUUAGUUUGGUAAUUCCUUUAGUUAAUUGUUUUGCAUUGCUUGUUAAUAUUAGAUCCAUUAUGUUUCUGCCCCUCCUUUGAAUGUUAUUAGGAUAGAUUAGCUUAGGUUACAUUACAUGCUCUAGGUUUGUUGCUUCAAUUUAAAUCUAUGUCGCUGCUUCUAUCACACUAUAUUGAUUAUGAUUUUGACUCAAUAGAUAGUGUCAUUAGCAAUUCGAAGUGGGAAUGGUCUGCUUCUGAAAGGAGGAAAACAAGCUAGGCCUUCAAAUGCAAUUCUUCACAAGGUCAUCAAUGCAGCCAUUCCUGAUACAGUUUGUGAAAAACUUAUCGUGUUUAUGACUUCAAAAAAGUAUAUUCCAUAUUUUCUUAAGGCGAGGAUACAAAUUUGACGACGAAUAUACUUUAUAAGAUAUUAACAUCUAAAUUGGUAUUCUAUGCAUCAGCUUGAUGAUGUAAUAGAUAUUGUGAUUCCAAGAGGAAACAAUAGACUUGUUUCUCAGAUAAAAAGCUCCACUAAAAUUUCUGUUUUUGGUACAAGUCUGUGCGUGUGUUUUUGAUACUCCUUUUACCUUGUAGUUAUAAAGCAAUAAAGAUUCAUGUCAAAUGAUUUAUUA